GGCAACUCUAUUCAUUGUUGCCUAUUUAACUCUGAAACUCAAUGUAACUCUAUUCUGGUGAAGAAUCUGGUAGAAAACCCAGCUGAGGUAGUGUCCCUACCUGGCCUACCCCUGGGCUGAUAAGGGCAAAAACACCUGGUCCCUGGUUAACCUAAACCCAAGCAACCUUUAAGGGGAACGUGUUGGAGAAGCCUCCCUCUCCACAUUCCAAGGGCAUUUAGUUUCACCUAGAUCAGCCCCGCCCCCUCCAAACCAGUUCCAGCUGGAACUGCAUGCCACUUUUCAAGGGAGGAGGCAAGUGCUGUGCAGUCGCAGGAAUCAAAUGAGGGCACGAAACUGGCAGCACUGAAGCCGCCCACUCCCAUCAUGUGCCGGAGCCAAAGGAUCACUAGGCCUCAAACUGCUCCCCAGGGCUAAACAAAUCCAGGCAACUCUUAAGCUAAGAAAGUGUGAAAAUGCUUU
rnacentral:lncRNA from 11 species